rnacentral:lncRNA from 1 species
ACAGGUUUGUUGUAUUUUACAGACCAGGAGGAACAGGUUUAUUGUAUUUUACAGACCAGGAGGAACAGGUUUAUUGUAUUUUACAGACUAGACCAGGAGGAACAGGUUUAUUGUAUUUUACAGACUAGGCCAGGAGGAACAGGUUUAUUGUAUUUUACAGACCAGGUUUAUUGUAUUUUACAGACUAGGAGGAACAGGUUUAUUGUAUUUUACAGACUAGACCAGGAGGAACAAGUGUAUUGUAUUUUACAGACUAGACCAGGAGCAACAGGUUUAUUGUAUUUUACAGACCAGGAGGAACAGGUUUAUUGUAUUUUACAGACUAGACCAGGAGGAACAGGUUUAUUGUAUUUUACAGACCAGGAGGAACAAGAGACUGACCUGAACAGGUUUAUUGUAUUUUACAGACUAGGAGGAACAGGUUUAUUGUAUUUUACAGACCAGGAGGAACAGGUUUAUUGUAUUUUACAGACUAGACCAGGAGGAACAGGUUUAUUGUAUUUUACAGACCAGGAGGAACAAGAGACUGACCUGAACAGGUUUAUUGUAUUUAACAGACCAGGAGCAACAGGUUUAUUGUAUUUUACAGACCAGAAGGAACAGGUUUAUUGUAUUUUACAGACUAGACCAGGAGGAACAAGAGACUGACCUGAACAGGUUUGUUGUAUUUUUACAAAACUAGAACAUACUGAAAUUGUGUGUAAUCUACAAAAGGCAACACAGAUCGGUCAGACCAGAUCUCACCACCUCCUCCUCCUCCUCCUCUGGGGGGAAAAAGCUGUGAAAGGAUCCAACACAGCAACAUCACAGCUCAAGAGUUCUAUUUCAAUUCAUUGAAGGUUGAGUCUGAAGCCAGUAAAAUGGGGUAUUCAGGAUGAACAACAGGUCAGACCCUUGGUUAGAAUGUAUACUAGUCUCUUCACUCACAUACAAGAAGGUCUGAAGAUCGGAUAUCGUUCCAAUAUGUUGAUCGAAACCUGGGUCGAAUCGUUCAACGUUUGAGUCCAUGGAUGAACCAAAAUCAAGGCUUCAGAUAAACCACAGUUGGCUCCGUUACACACUUCCUCUACCCUCCCUGAAGCACAUGAAGCAAUCUGACAGAAUUGUAUGGAUAGAAGUACCAAUCCCAGCUUGGGUCCCAAAAGUGUCCCGGGGUUAAAGGUUAAUCCAACAGAAGGAUUUGAUCAAAGCGUCAGAAGCACUGUCCAAUCUAGAAACAGGUCUGUCUGUCCGUUCUAGAAACAGGUCUGUCUGUCCGUUCUAGAAACAGGUCUGUCUGUCCGUUCUAGAAACAGGUCUGUCUGUCCGUUCUAGAAACAGGUCUGUCUGUCCGAUCUAGAAACAGGUCUGUCUGUCCGAUCUAGAAACAGGUCUGUCUGUCCGAUCUAGAAACAGGUCUGUCGGUCCGAUCUAGAAACAGGUCUGUCUGUCCGUUCUAGAAACAGGUCUGUCUGUCCGUUCUAGAAACAGGUCUGUCGGUCCGUUCUAGAAACAGGUCUGUCGGUCCGUUCUAGAAACAGGUCUGUCUGUCUGUCCGAUCUAGAAACAGGUCUGUCUGUCCAGAGGUCCAGGGUUCCUGACGACUCAGCGAAGGACUUGGAAGUUUUCAAAAUAGCAUCUCAAUCUACAGACGUUGUGCUCUGCUCUCCGCUGUCUUCCAGCUGAACGGAGUCCA